rnacentral:lncRNA from 1 species
AACAACGCAAGUUAGAAGUCUUGAUUAGUGAACCAAGUUCCAACAACUUGCCAUGCCAAAAAGAAGAAGAGAAUUGAUCUUGUAUUGGUUUAAGUCUUUUGCAUGAUUUAGGAAGCAACCUAUCCUUAAUGCAAAGCCAUUCACUUGAUCAAUUGAUCAAGAUGAAUUAGAUUUGGAUCAAGGAAGAUUAAGUCUCCCUAAUCAAUGCUAACUUA